rnacentral:piRNA from 1 species
UGGUCAAUUGGGUNUUUAGGCUAUUUACAA